GUGGGGAAUAUUGGACAAUGGGGGGAACCCUGAUCCAGCCAUGCCGCGUGUGUGAAGAAGGCCUUUUGGUUGUAAAGCACUUUAAGCGAGGAGGAGGCUACCGAGAUUAAUACUCUUGGAUAGUGGACGUUACCCGCAGAAUAAGCACCGGCUAACUCUGUGCCAGCAGCCGCGGUAAUACAGAGGGUGCAAGCGUUAAUCGGAUUUACUGGGCGUAAAGCGCGCGUAGGUGGCCAAUUAAGUCAAAUGUGAAAUCCCCGGGCUUAACUUGGGAAUUGCAUUCGAUACUGGUUGGCUAGAGUAUGGGAGAGGAUGGUAGAAUUCCAGGUGUAGCGGUGAAAUGCGUAGAGAUCUGGAGGAAUACCGAUGGCGAAGGCAGCCAUCUGGCCUAAUACUGACACUGAGGUGCGAAAGCAUGGGGAGCAAACAGGAUUAGAUACCCUUGUAGUCC
rnacentral:rRNA from 1 species